rnacentral:sRNA from 19 species
GUCAACUACCCCCGCCUGAAGGCGGGAGCUUGGAGACAAGCUCGGUUGACCAGCCUAAGCCCGCCUGACCGGGAUGUCGAAAGGGGCUACGUUGCGCAUAGGUUCAAGACUCACCCUGGAAUGCUUCCUCAGUUCCAGGCUCUGAA